GGUUAAGCGACUAAGCGUACACGGUGGAUGCCCUGGCAGUCAGAGGCGAUGAAGGACGUGCUAAUCUGCGAUAAGCGUCGGUAAGGUGAUAUGAACCGUUAUAACCGGCGAUUUCCG
rnacentral:rRNA from 2 species